CUUGCUCCCCAAGGGGCUUUCCUCAUUUUUUUCACUUCUGGGUUGUUAUGAAGAAUGCUUAGUCUUACUCCUAUCAUUAAUCCUCUGAAGGAGAUGUUGGACUGAGACCAGAAAAAGUUUUUUUUUAACGUUUUAGAAUAGCCAAGUCAAAGUUCAGGAUCUGAAAAGAGCAGUCCCAAAACUGGUAGAUUAUUCAAGUUCAACUGAUUGUUCACCAUCAAUUACAAACUGAUCUUCUUCUUCCUUUCCCCUAUCUUUCAGCCAACUACUGGCUUGAUUAGCCUUUUGGUUGGCUUAGUUAUCUGGGAAGAGUUUGAGGCUAUUAGUCCUGAGGAAGUGGAUAGUUAGACACCCUAACCUGGAUGUAGUACUGAGAUGGCACUGCUUGCACUUGCUGAUCAUCUCUGCUCCCACAAAGGACCAAAUGUUUUUCAGUCCACGAUGAUGACAUGCUAAGAAAUUUAGUUGCCCAAGGAGAUGUACAAGAUGUCAUCU